rnacentral:lncRNA from 1 species
UUUUUUUGUUUUUUUUUUUUUUUUCAGAUUUUUUAAGUACAAUAAUUCUUACAUGAACAAAGAGGAUUUAAUCAGAAAAUUCACAUCCAGAGAGAGGAAUAUAAUAGGGGAAUAGAACUUCACGUAAGGAGCAGAGGGGUGCUGAUGGCACAUAUACAGAGUCUACCUAUUAACUCAAGCGAAUAUCAUGUGUUCUAGAAGAAAAAAAAAAAACCAUAAAAUACAUACUAGGGAGUCUUGUGUCAUUGUGAGACAGGGACUGGUUAAGGACAGGACACAGAGCAGAGCAAACAAAUUGCCAGGACUGAUGGCUCCAAAAGACAGUGGGGAAAUAUAAUCCAGCUUUCUCUACCUCCCAUAACUCUGGACACUGCUGCUGUAUUAAUUCAAGCUCAACUGCCAAUGAAGGUCUGAAGCCGUGGAGUGGAGGUUAUCUUUGAUGAGGACUAUGGGUAAACCCCCGGACAUCCCUUUCCAAGCGAACCUAAAAAGAACAAAAGAAGUUUUCUACUUGGUGACUCUUAAAAUUCCCUGAACAAGGCCAUGAAGUGAAAGAUUUCUACCUUUCGUACUAUAACCAAAGAAGAGGUCAUUCUGUAUUAACACUUCAGCGUGAGUGAGUGUAGCAGCGUAGGUGGUAUAUAAUCACUACUCUGAUCUUUGAAAAGGGGGGGAAGUGCAUUUUUGUAACAAUAUUGUGUGUUGGAUCAGAGCAACUGAGUUUAUCACCAGGGAGGGAGGAAGAAAGAAGAGUUGAGGGAUGCUUGACAGCUACAGAACUCUGCUUCUUGUACAUUUAUUUGGAGAGAUACAAACAGAAGCAGCACACAGAGGCAUUUUUAUCUGGCCUUGCUUCACUGAUGUGAUUUAUGACAGGAGGAGUGUUUUAACAAGGCUGAUGUCUUACAAAGGGCCGUCGUUCCCAGGGGAUGCAUUCAGUGCAGUGCCACACAGAUCUGUGGGAAGAUAUAAGGUGUUGUCACCAAGGGCAGGAAGGAGGAUGAGAUGAUCUUGCUUCUCACUCUUUCUCAGUGCCAUUAUUCUAAGAUCUAUAAAAAACAAAGCCUUCGUCCCUUAGUGUGUGGGUUUUUUUUUUUUUUUUUUAAAUAGUGGCUUGAGCUAUAUUUAUUACAGACGUAGGGCUAAAUCAGACUUUGUCAACAACUCCUGGACUGUGUUUAGAGGAGGCAUAAACAUUCCCCUGGGAGUUACACACACAGUUCUGGUAUUAAAUACUCUUCUUAUAACAUCCAAUGUGCUGUUUUUAUUGAAGUUAACAGAGUUAUUCCAACAAUUCCCCAAGUCAUGAAAGACAUAAUGGUUCUGCUAUAAUCCUCAGCAUAUUCAUAUUAACUGUCAGAUUAAUUAGACGAUUAGGUUGCUAGGUGUCAGCAUCUGAGAGAGGUGCCGAGGAGACAGAACUGGGUAUGAUACAGACUGUGACCUGGAAGAAAAGUCUGGGGAGUAGCUGGCAUGACAUGCCAUUAGAAUGCAAAUGAAGUAGGGACUUGAAAGCCACAUGACCAAACUCUAUGGUAGAGAUAUGGAAUAGAGGAUUGGUUUUGAAAGAAAAUUCUUCUAAUUGUAAAAGUAAUAUAACUAUAUAAUGUUCAAAGUUGGGCUUCUUUCGCGUCUCAUGUUCUCAAGGUUGAUCCAUGUUGUAGCCUGUGUGUGAGCACUUCAUCCUUUUUUUGUAUAAAUCUACUGUAUGGAUAUCUAUACACACAUUUUCUUUAUUCAUUCAUCAAUGGAUGAACACAAAAGUCAUUUCCACUUUUGACUCUCACGAAUAAUGCUCUGAACACUCAUGUACAAGUUUGUGUGUAGACAUAUGUUUUCAAUUCUCUUCAAAAUAUACCUAGGUUCAUGCUUGUUGGGUUACAUGGUAACUCAAUGUCUUGAGGAACAGCCAAACUCUUUGUCAAAAGAGGCUUCUCAUCACAAAGUAUUUUAUUGAUUGGUUUCACAAUCACAUAUUUUAGCUUUGUCAUAUUGUAGCACAUUUAAUAUGCUUUCAGUUUGGAUAUGUUUAAUAUUUUCAUUCCUAUAACCUUUUAUUUUUUUGAAUUGUAUUAAGGCAGGGUCCAAUUUUGAGUCUUGUUUUUAGCAUUUUUUUACUUUUUGUUUUGUUUUGUUUUAAUGGCCAUACCCACAGCAUAAUGAAGUUCCCAGGUGAGGCGCUAAAAAGACAAACAAAACAAAACAAAAACAAACAAACAAAACCUUCCAAUAACAACCAUUCUUUAUGGGGAGCAUAAACACUUCUUUAUGCUAGCAACAAACACUUUUAGUUUUGCUUCAUUUAAGAAUAUCAUUAUUUUUCCUUCAUUUCUGGAGGAUAGUUUGGACAAACAAAGAUCUUUCAGUUAAUUUUUUUUCUUCCAGCAGAAAAAUGUUGUACCACCUCCUUUUAUCCCCCAUGGUUCCUGAUGAGAAAUCUGCUGUCAUUUAAAAUGUGUUCCGCUAUAGUGUGGUGUCACUUCUCUUUGGAUGCUUUAAUUUUUUUUUGUUUUCACAUAUUUAAUUAUAAAAUGUCUUUGAAUUGAUUUCUUUCAGCCUAUCCAGUUUGGGGUUCACUCAGCCUCUUGAACCUGCACGUUUAUCUUUUGCGAAAUUUGAGAUGUUUUCAUCCAUCAUUUCUUUGCAUAUUCAUUCAUUCAUUCAGCUCUAUUCUUUUUCUCCUCUGCUUCCUAGAUUACAAAUAUAUGAAUGUUGGCUGUUUUGUUACUGUCCCACAGGCCACAGGUUCUUGUUUUUUUCUCCAGCUCUCUUUGUUAUUCAGAUUUAGUAAUUUUUUUUAAAAAUUUUGCUUUUUAGGGCCACACAUGCAGCAUAUGGAAGUUCCCAGGCUAGGGGUCAAAUCGAAGCUACAGCUGCCAGCUUACACCACAGUCACAGCAAUGUGGGAUCCAAGCUGUGUCUGUGACCUACACCAGAGCACACAGCAAUGCUGGAUCCUUAACCCACUGAGUGAAGCCAAAGGAUUGAACCCACAUCCUCAUGGAUACUAGUCAGAUUCAUUUCUGCUGAGCCACGAUGGGAACUCCCCAUAUUUAGUAAUUCUUUUGAUUUAUUUUCAAGUUCACCGAUUCUAUCAUCAGUCAUUUUUACUCUAUUAUAGAACCCAUCCAAUGAGUUUUAAAAUUUUGGUUACUGUAUUUUUCAGUUAUAUAAUUGCCAUUAUUUCUUUUUAAAAAAUUAACAUAUAAUGCACAUGCCAUAAUGGUUCUUUUGUUAAUUUAAAAAACUAUUUUUUUAACUGUUUCUUUGCUGAGACUUUCUAUUGUUGUUUCAAAAGGAAAAAAAUAACCUCUGGGUUAGGGGAAGAGAGCCUCCCCCCCAUGGUGAUGAAGACUUCUGGGUCAGACACUUCUGUGGUGGGCUUCCCAGUGUCUCGCAGCAAAUGAGGAGUCUCAGAGCUUGUAGGGAAAUAGUGCUCCUCCUGGACACUUGUUCUGGGGAUCCCUUCACACUGCCCUUGUUGGUUUUUCAGACUCACCUGGUGUUGUGGGCAGGCCUCCUGUUCCAUCCUUGGCUCCCUUAUGUUGUUGACUUGGUGGUCAGAAAACAUCAAGCCUGGGUCACAAUCUUCUGUUGGGUGGGAGGUCAUAAGACAACCUCUAAUUAUGUUCCCCUUCUAGUUUUGGGAGUAUUUAGCUUAUUUAUUUUCUUCUUUAUGUCUUUCAGAGUUCUCUUUUCAGUGCCUCUUGCAUUCUUACAAUCCUUAUCCAGAACUGAUCAUUGUACUUAUCAGAAAGGAUCAAAAAGAAAUGAGUUUGUCCUCUUAACCAGACAACAAAUCAGAACUCAAUAUUUUUUAAAGAUUUCCAUCUGCACAAUUUCUCCAAUAGUCAGAAACUCAAAUCCUGUCCUAGAAUUAUUUUUUAAAUUGUUACAUCAAAGUUGAGUAAAUUUGGCUAUUUCUUUGUGUAUAUAGGAAGUGGCAAAUUAAACAGUUCUCAGAACAAUGACUUAAAGACUCUGUUUAAACUCUACAGUAUGACAACCUUUUGCAUCUUCAAUGUAAAUGCAGUAUGGUGACUAUAUUCAUGCAUUUAACAAGUAUUUAUUGAGUUCUUACUUUGUGCCAGGCACUGUUUCAGUCACUGGCAAGAUAGCAAAUUUAAAAAAAUUAAAAAUCCAUGUCCCCUUGGAAGAUCACAUUCUUUAAACUUUGGAAUACUUUUCAUUUAAAACCAAUUUAAGUCAUAGCAACUAUCCAGUUUAUUGUCUACAUCCAUAGGAUGAGCUCUCAAAUAGCAAACUGAACUUACAUCUAACUACACAAAAAGUAUCACCUUCCAUUCAAUCUUUGAAUGUGUGUAUAAAAUUUAACUGUACUUGUAUAAAGAACUAACUGAGGAAAACAACUAUUUCAGUAAAAAUUAUAUUUAUGCUAGAUUAAAUUCAGAAGGCUGAAACCUGUUAAAUGUCUACAUGUUUAGCUAGGCUUACAAAUCAGGUUGUAAAUAUGCGUGUACCUAAGAGGUGAGAUUAAAAGGGUGGAGUAGAAGGGACUUAAAACUCACCUUCUCUCGUGAAAACACCAAAAUUACAACCAACUGCUGAACAACCAUCAACAAAAGAGACUGGAAACUACCAAAAAAGAUAUCUUACACCCAAAGGCCAAGAAGGAGCCAUAUCAAGACAGCAGGAGGGGCGUUUUUAUGAUAUAAGCAAUCCUGUACCUGCUGGGUGGGCAAUCCACCAACUAAAAAAUAACCAUAUCCCAGAGGCUCUCCCAUAGGAAUGAGAGUCCUGAGCCUCAUGUUGGAUUCCCACGUCUGGGGGUCUGGCAUUGGGAGGAGCUGCCCCCGGAGCAUUUGGCAUUGAAGGCCAGCAGGACUUGGGCACAGGAGCUCCACAGGACUGGGGGAAACAGAGACUCCACUCCCGGAAGGUGCACACAGGCUUUCAUGUGCACUGGGUCCCUGGGCAAAACAAGGACUCCCUAAGAAUCCGUGUCAGACCUACCUGUGAGUCUUGGAGGACCUCCUGGGAAAACAAGGGGCAGCUGUCGGGGAAGGACAUUGGAGGCAGAGGUCUUGGGAAUAAAUACAUAUGCAUACUUUCAGAUUUUAAAGUGAUUUUUUUCUCAAUUUUCCUGAAAUGAAUCAGAGAUCAGGGAAGGCCUUUGGGGGAAGGCCACAUUAUUAACAGAAGUUGAUAAUGGAAAUCAAGUGAGAAUGAAGGUAAAGAUGAUCUGGGGUGAUGGGGUUUGCACUCAGGAGACUGGGAGAAAGGAGUACCAUAAAGAGAAAUAUAGAUGUUAGCCGUGAGUGGAACUGGGGUUAGCAUGGAGGAUGAUUAAUCUGUUUUUAGAUCUGCUAAAUUUGAUGUAACAGGAAGAAGUUAAAAAUGUCCUAGUACAAAAAUUAUAGAAUUUUCUGGGUGUCAUGAGCAAAAAAAUGUAGUUAUAGGAAAGGGUGAGAUCUCAGAGAAAAACAGCUUGGACACUGAAAGACACAGAGGUCUGAGGACUAGAUCUUCAAGAACAGAUACAAGUUUAGCUUCGAACUUCUCUCUCCUCUCUCUUUAGACUCUGUAGGUGAUCUCAUCUGAUUAUAGAGCCAAUUUUGGAUAAAUAAACAUGUUCCGUAUUUACACUCUUAUAAUUUAAAUGUGUCCUGAUAAGUAUAAAGAUAUAAACAAAAUAAAUAUACAGCAAAUACUUGAAGUAAACAAUGAAACCACAGUAUGAAUUAGCAAAUAAAGAGGAACAUUUUAGGGCUAUAAAGAAAAGGUCUAUGGGGAAAUUAACUUCCUCGCUUCUAUUUUUUGGUGAAAAUUUCUAUCUAAAUUCAGUUAUAGAAAAGAUAAGAUUUUGGAAGUUUUAGGAAUCGAGUAUGGCAUACGUGAAGGAGAGUUCUAAGUAAGUUCAGGUGGAUAUAACCAAAAAUAUGACUCAGAACCUAUGGUAUAUAGUUGGGGAGGAAAAAAAGCCAAAAAAGUUCUUCACAUAUACUCACAUUUGUUUAUAAAUCCCUUUAAAAAAGAAUAAACUCACAAAUCAAGAUAAAAUGGUGAUGUAGUUUGGAUCAGGGUUGUGUAAGAUUUUGAAGAGCAGGAGUGCCUUAGUGUAAAGUGUUCUUAUAAGUUCCAAAGAGAGAAAAAGAGAGAAGUUAGGAAAAUGGAUUUUUAAAAACCAAGGUUUAACAUUUUAGAGGCAAAGUGGAAGAAUGGACAGGAGAAGAAAAGUGGUCCAGAAAGACAGGUAUAAUCUGCAUUCAAGAACAUGUGUGGGAUUCUUAUUGCCUUUUAAUAAAAUAUGCAAAGGGGCUUUUCC